rnacentral:lncRNA from 1 species
AAGAGGGAGAGGAUGCAGAGGUGGAGGAAAACAAAGAAAAGCAGAGCAGAAGCCCAUCGCCUGGGGAAACUGCAAGUUCUAAGGGCUACCUUAUUAGGGAAUUGAAAAACAUAGGUUCUCUCCAUGGAACACUGCAGAAGCAUGAUGGCUAAUUCGUUUGACAAGCUGGCAGGGCCAAGAUACCUGGCUUAUGACUAGGUCAUUUACAAUAAAGUACCUGCUGUACAGCUGCCAAGCUUGCUAUAUAAGUGUGCAAAAAUUUGGAAUUCAGACCACAAGAAUGCUGUCUGAGUCUUCAGGCACCUGGUCAUCUGGGUCCAGGUUGAUGCUGCAGCAUGUCUUCUAACCCGCCUACCACCAGAGGGCAGCAGCGUACAUUCACAACAAUUGUUGAGAAGUGGAAGCCGAUGAAUCUUAUGUGCAGAAGAGGACAUAGCAAAAGAAGAAGCAUUCCAUACCACCUGCGUUCAUGCCUGCCAUGCCCUGGAUUUGGGCCCCCAUCUGAACCAUCUCCUGCACAUAACCAUGCUAUCAUAAUGAGGAAUCUUGAGAUCUGUGACAAUCUCUCUCUUCUCCCCAGCCCACAGCUCCAUCACACCCUACUCUAAUCACUAAGGAUCACUCAAGAUACUUCACUGUCUUCUGUUUUUCCAAAGUCCCUAAGUCACUUUAAGACUUUCUAUGUCCUCUGUAAACAGUCACAUACUCAUGUCUGGGGCUAGGUAUACAUGUGGAGAUAAGAGUGCAAGAGACAAGAAUGAAGGAGAGAAAAGUGAGGAAGGAAAAAUAAAGAGCUAUUUAUGU